rnacentral:sRNA from 1 species
ACUGGGUGCAGGGGUCCAUGCCUGUAGUCUGAGCUACUCAGGAGGCUAAGGCAGGACGAUUGCUUGAGCCCAGGAGUUUGAGGCCAACCUGGGCAACAUAGCAAGACCCCAUCUCUU